rnacentral:lncRNA from 1 species
AACGAGAAUGCCAACCACAAUGACGGGUGGGGCCUGUCAUCAGCAUUGACCCACGUGUCAGCUCCGGUUGACCUCUCCCCCGGUCUGUCGCCGUUAUAACUGACGGCGCCCGCGGCGAGGGCGCAGCUGGUUAAAGAGGCAUGCUCCCUUCUCGCUUACUCCCCAUCCCGCACUGCCCCACCGCGCCGGCCCCGUCUCCGACUCCGACACCCN